rnacentral:rRNA from 1 species
AUUUUAUAUGAGAGUUUGAUCCUGGCUCAGGAUGAACGCCGGCGGUGUGCCUAAUACAUGCAAGUCGUACGCACUGGCCCAACUGAUUGAUGGUGCUUGC